rnacentral:rRNA from 1 species
AGAGUUUGAUCAUGGCUCAGAGCGAACGCUGGCGGCAGGCCUAACACAUGCAAGUCGAGCGCCCCGCAAGGGGGAGCGGCAGACGGGUGAGUAACACGUGGGAACGUACCCUUCAGUUCGGAACAACCCAGGGAAACUUGGGCUAAUACCGAAUACGUCCGUAAGGAGAAAGAUUUAUCGCUGAAGGAUCGGCCCGCGUCUGAUUAGCUAGUUGGUGAGGUAAUGGCUCACCAAGGCUACGAUCAGUAGCUGGUCUGAGAGGAUGAUCAGCCACACUGGGACUGAGACACGGCCCAGACUCCUACGGGAGGCAGCAGCCAGGAAUCUUGGGCAAUGGGCGAAAGCCUGACCCAGCAACACCGUGUGGGCGAUGAAGGCCUUCGGGUCGUAAAGCCCUGUUGAUAGGGACGAAGGGCGAAGGGUUAAUAGCCCCUAGCCUGACGGUACCUUUCGAGGAAGCCCCGGCUAACUACGUGCCAGCAGCGGCGGUAAUAC